GGUCAAAAGAGAAAGCACAGGUUCACACCUCACCAGAGAAGAAUGAAGAUUUGAAAUCAGAAGCUGCAAGCUAAUGGACUUCAAGGCGUUCCCAGCUGAGGAGUGUUCCCAGCUCCCAGAGGCCAUCUGCAUUCCUUGGCUCGUAAUAUCCUUUUCUCCAUCUUCAAAGUCAGCAAUGUGAAGUCCAAUGAGACAACGGAGCAUGCCCACAAACAGAAGGAAUGAGUGUCAUGUGUGGGCCCACCGUUACUCUAUGCCCCAGUUCGCUACGCCCUAUCAGCGCAAAAUUCCACGGGAUUCACGGGUAUGUCAAAGCAACUACAAGGGAUCUUUCUGGCUGCUUGGGCAGGAGUGGAAGCAGAGACUUGGGAGAGGCAAAGAAGAAGCACAGAAAAGGAAGAGGAGAUGGACAGUUUUUGCUUUUCCAUCUAUUCUCUGUAGGACAAAGUAUUUGGUUAUAAAUUGGGGCCUGCAAUGAAAGUAAAAAGAUUUCUAAAGAAUAUCAAUUUUAAAUUAAUUCAACCAAGAAAUGUUUGCUGAAUGUAUGAAUUUGUUCCAAUUCUUCCAGUGUAUGAGAUAUCAUUUAUAAGUCAUUGUGCUGGUCAGAACACAGUGACAUACAAGAACAAGCUUGAAAAGUACAAAGUUGCACCAAGUGAGAAUAUUAUCUGUGGAAAUUUAGAUUGUGGCAGCCAGAUACACUAGCUCGGGAUCCACUAGCUGAAUGAGUAGCCCAUUUCUCUUCCCAAGGAGAAAAUAACCACUUGAUCAUCAACAGUUGGUCAGGUACUGCCUAGGAGACACUGGAUCUGCAUCUUCUGCGGAUUUAGGUUCUAAAGUUACCUUAUAGAGUCAGAUUCAUUAAUAUCAAAAUUAUUCCUGAAAAUCUCUUACAACAAACAACAUCAUCGUGGAGACUGAAAUUCCAUCUCUUAAUAAAUCCGGAAUCAGUUUUUU